rnacentral:rRNA from 1 species
ACAGCUCAACUGUGGAAUUGCCUUUGAUACUGUUAUUCUUGAGUGUAGUUGAAGUAGNCGGAAUAUAGCAUGUANCGGUGAAAUGCAUAGAUAUGCUAUAGAACACCAAUUGCGAAGGCAGCUUGCUAAACUAUAACUGACGCUGAGGCACGAAAGCGUGGGGAGCGAACAGGAUUAGAUACCCUGGUAGUCCACGCCGUAAACUAUGAACACUCGCUGUGNGCAAUACACAGUCAGCGGCUGAGCGAAAGCGUUAAGUGUUCCACCUGGGAAGUACGAUCGCAAGGUUGANACUCAAAGGAAUUGACGGGGGCCCGCACAAGCGGAGGAGCAUGUGGUUUAAUUCGAUGAUACGCGAGGAACCUUACCUGGGCUUAAAUGUAUAUUGACGUACUGAGAAAUCAGUAUUUCUUCGGACAAUUUACAAGGUGCUGCAUGGUUGUCGUCAGCUCGUGCCGUGAGGUGUCGGGUUAAGUCCCAUAACGAGCGCAACCCCUACUUCUAGUUACCAGCAUUUCGGAUGGGGACUCUAGAGGAACUGCCUACGCAAGUAGAGAGGAAGGUGGGGAUGACGUCAAAUCAGCACGGCCCUUAUGUCCAGGGCUACACACGUGCUACAAUGGCCGGUACAGAGGCAGCUACAUAGCCAAUAUGAUGCUAAUCUCAAAAGCCGUCNUCAGUCCGGANUGGAGUCUGCAACUCGACUCCAUGAAGCUGG